rnacentral:misc_RNA from 1 species
UACAGAGGUGGCUAGCGUUGUUCUGAUUUAUUGGGCGUAAAGGGUCCGUAGGCGGCCCGGAAAGUCAGGUGUGAAAUCCCACAGCUCAACUGUGGAACUGCACUUGAAACUCUCGGGCUAGAGUGUGAGAGGGGUGAAGGGAAUUCCCGGUGUAAGGGUGAAAUCUGCAGAGAUCGGGAGGAACACCAGUCGCGAAGGCACUUCACUGGCUCACUACUGACGCUCAGGGACGAAAGCUAGGGUAGCAAACAGG